AACCAACAGAAUUAAAGGUCGAGUUAUAUAAGCUUAUCAACUACCAUCUCAUUAUUGUGAAAGUGGAGGGUCAAAAAAUAAUGCUGCAUGGCAUUCAGGAGGGUAGAGAACCGCGGAAUCGUAACGGCCUGGAUUUUGAAAAAAUAAGAGACCAUGUUGCUAAUGGCGGUUGCUAUGAUUGGAAGAUAUCGGGGACUAUAUCUCGUCCACGCCCGAAGCUUCCUCAUUCCUCUAGUUCAGACCGGAAGAGGCGCGGGAAAUGAAGGGCCAAAAUCUCUGUGAAGUUCCCUGCAGUCGUUUCUGGAUGGAUAAAAGAAUGGUGGCGCAGAAUCUUUGGCAAAAGUGGGCUAGUAAAUUGUAGCAGUCAUUUUAUACAUGUUUUUUUUUUUUUUCAUAUUUCUAGUUUAACGAUGUAUUUCUAGUUUAAGGAGGUCGUAUGUGUUAUGAACCUCACAAGUGAUGUGGUGUUUAUGUUUUGGAAUGCUUAAAUUGUAAUGAUUUUGUGGUUUCAUACCCACAACUUUAAUUUUUGAGAAGUACUCAAUCGGAUGUGUAUUAAAAG